rnacentral:lncRNA from 1 species
GUGACAACCCAUCGAUUUAUUUUUUUUUUUGGGGAAAAAGGAAUGGGAGAAAAGAAAGAAAGCGAGUGGUGGCAAUGGGAAUAUACGUGGGUGUAUUUUUUUCUUUUUUUUUUCGACAGGAAUACAUGUUGUGGUCGACUUUUUAUGGCCUCGGCGUAUGAAACUACAAUGCUGUAUUUUUUUUGCGGGUAACUACAAAGCUGUAUUUGACUUGCUAUGAUCAUAGAGUAUACUAUGUGAGUUAAAACAUGCUAA